GAGUUUGAUCCUGGCUCAGAACGAACGCUGGCGGCGUGCUUAACACAUGCAAGUCGAACGUGAUUGAGAGCUUGCUCUCAUGAAAGUGGCGCACGGGUGAGUAACACGUGGAUAAUCUGCCUGGCGAUUCGGGAUAACACUUCGAAAGGGGUGCUAAUACCGGAUAAGCCCACGGUCUCUUCGGAGAGCGCGGGAAAAGGGGGCCUCUGUAUAUGCUCCUGUCGCUAGAUGAGUCCGCGGCCCAUUAGCUAGUUGGUAGGGUAAUGGCCUACCAAGGCUACGAUGGGUAGCUGGUCUGAGAGGAUGAUCAGCCACACUGGAACUGAGACACGGUCCAGACUCCUACGGGAGGCAGCAGUGGGGAAUUUUGCGCAAUGGGGGAAACCCUGACGCAGCAACGCCGCGUGAGUGAUGAAGGCUUUCGGGUCGUAAAGCUCUGUCAGAGGGGAAGAAAUGAGUCUGGCUAAUAUCCAGAUUUCUUGACGGUACCCUCAAAGGAAGCACCGGCUAACUCCGUGCCAGCAGCCGCGGUAAUACAAGGGCGMMYYCY
rnacentral:rRNA from 1 species